rnacentral:rRNA from 1 species
CCUACGGGUGGCAGCAGUGGGGAAUAUUGGACAAUGGGGGCAACCCUGAUCCAGCCAUGCCGCGUGUGUGAAGAAGGCCCUCGGGUUGUAAAGCACUUUCAGUGAGGAAGAACGCCUGGUGGUUAAUACCCAUCAGGAAAGACAUCACUCACAGAAGAAGCACCGGCUAACUCCGUGCCAGCAGCCGCGGUAAUACGGAGGGUGCGAGCGUUAAUCGGAAUUACUGGGCGUAAAGCGCGCGUAGGUGGCUUGAUAAGCCGGUUGUGAAAGCCCCGGGCUCAACCUGGGAACGGCAUCCGGAACUGUCAAGCUAGAGUGCAGGAGAGGAAGGUAGAAUUCCCGGUGUAGCGGUGAAAUGCGUAGAGAUCGGGAGGAAUACCAGUGGCGAAGGCGGCCUUCUGGACUGACACUGACACUGAGGUGCGAAAGCGUGGGUAGCAAACAGGAUUAGAUAACCGAGUAGUC